UUGUGCUUCUUCUUCUUCUUCUUCCGUUUCUCGUCAGGUAAAGCUCAAGUAAGAGACAAAUUAUAGUAGCAUUCACCAUGUUUCGUCGCAAGAACCACUCUAAUAGUGAACAGGGGGGUGAGGACCAGCAGCACAAGGUUAAGGAGCUUAGGGCUUCCCUGGGGCAACUCUCAGGCCGCAGUGCACAGUUCUGCACUGAUGCAUGUUUAAAAAGGUUUUUGGAGGCACGGAAUUGGAAUGUAGAUAAAGCAAAGAAGAUGUUGGAGGAGACGCUUAAAUGGAGAUUAUCGUUUAAACCUGAAGAAAUUCGCUGGAAUGAAGUAGCGAAAGAAGGUGAGACUGGGAAGGUGUUUAAAGCAAAUUUUCAUGACCGCCAUGGCAGGACAGUCCUAAUAUUACGGCCAGGAAUGCAGAACACGGCAGCACUAGACAACCAGAUGAAGCAUUUGGUGUAUCUAAUCGAGAAUGCCAUUUUUAAUCUGCCAGAAGGUCAAGAACAGAUGGCCUGGUUAAUUGACUUCACUGGAUGGUCUAUAACCAAUAAUGUUCCUGUAAAAUCUGCUCGCGAGACCAUCAAUAUUUUGCAAAACCACUACCCUGAGAGACUCGCUGCAGCACUUCUGUACAAUCCACCGCGACUUUUUGAAACAUUUUGGAGGAUUGUCAAAUACUUUAUGGAUCCCAAAACAUUUCAAAAGGUCAAGUUUGUGUAUCCAAAGAAUAAGGAUAGCGCGGAACUGAUGAAGUCGUACUUCGACGUUGACAAUCUUCCUACUGAGUUUGGAGGAACAGCUACACUGAAAUAUGAUCACGAGGAGUUCUCAAGGCAAAUGGCUCAAGAUGAUGUGAAGGCCGCCAAGUUUUGGGGUUCGGACAAACAUCCCCCUGGUCCUGGUGGUAAUGGUAAUUACUCUGCAGUAGAAGUUGCUCCAGAACCUUAAUCACUUACUCUAUAAGCCACUGCCUGAGCUUAAAUGAUUGCAACACUGACAAAG
rnacentral:misc_RNA from 1 species